GAUGAACGCUAGCGGCAGGCCUAAUACAUGCAAGACGAACGGUAAGUUGAGUAGCAAUACUUAGCCAAGAGUGUCGUACGGGUGCGUAACACGUAUGCAACCUACCCUAUACAGGAGGAUAGCCUAGGGAAACCUGGAUUAACCCUUCAUAGUAUUAUUGGAUGGCAUCAUUUGAUAAUUAAAACUGAGGUGGUAUAGGAUGGGCAUGCGUCUGAUUAGUUAGUUGGCGGGUAAUGGCCCACCAAGACGAUGAUCAGUAGGGUUCUGAGAGGAAGAUCCCCCCAACUGGCACUGAGAUACGGGCCAGACUCCUACGGGAGCAGCAGUAGGAUAUGGUCAAUGGAUGCAAGUCUGAACCAG
rnacentral:rRNA from 1 species